CACAGGUGACACAGGUGACACACAGGUGACACAGGUGACACAGGUGACACAGGUGACACACAGGUGACACAGAGGUGACACAGGUGACACACAGGUGACACAGGUGACACACAGGUGACACACAGGUGACACACAGGUGACACAGGUGACA